rnacentral:tRNA from 1 species
GCUUCAGUAGCUCAGUGGUAGAGCGCCUCGGUGACAUCGAGGAGGUCGUAGGUUCAAGUCCUACCUGAAGCA